AUGAAGACUUUGGGGCAAAAGAUUCGGGCUUUCCUCUGGGCCGGGUCCGACUCAGUGAACGGGGGCCAGUGGCUUGUGGCUUGGGACAGAAUAUGUCGCCCAAUUGAGUUCGGUGGCCUGGGUAUCCCGAACCUCAAGAUUCUCGGGUAUGCCUUGCGAAUGCGUUGGGCCUGGCAACGAUGGGACCCAAACAGUUGCUGGAGCGGCCUUCAAGACACUCGUGAAGAGCCGAUCGAGUCCCUACUCCAUGCGUCCACGACGGUUAACAUCGGCAAUGGCGAAGUCGCCAAAUUCUGGCGUGAUCGAUGGCUCGACGGACAAGACAUUGGCUCUUUUGCCCCGCGGCUGCUCGCGGCCACGGACCCAUCAAGGCGAGACACGACUACGGUGCGCCAGGCGCUCAUUGGACAUGGCUGGGUACGCAACGUUGUUGGCGUACUCACCUUCCCGGUCAUCGCUGAGUGCAUCGACCUCCUGAAUCGGCUGCAGGGAGUUGCGUUGACAGAGGACAGUCCGGAUCGUCAGGUCUGGAAGUGGACGAGCGAUGGAGUCUACUCUGCAUCCACUGCUUACCAUGCCUACUUCAUUGGAUUGGAGAGAUUACCUUGCGCCACCAUAAUAUGGAAGUCCUGGGCACCGGCCAAGUGCAAGAUGCACGCUUGGCUAACGAUACAGGAUCGGCUAUGGACUGCCGACCGACGACAUCGUCAUGGACUAUCCGCGAACGGUACAUGUGCUUCGUGUUCAAACGCCCAGGAAACGGCGGACCACAUUGUCGUGGGAUGCUGUUGGGGAUCGUUGCAGAAAGUAAAAAAAUUCUACGCAUCACCAAGAUCAAUCUAUGGAGCUUACUAG
rnacentral:rRNA from 1 species